rnacentral:rRNA from 1 species
GGUUAAGCGAAUAAGCGUACACGGUGGAUGCCUAGGCAAUCAGAGGCGAUGAAGGACGUGCUAAUCUGCGAAAAGCGUCGGUAAGGUGAUAUGAACCGUUAUACCCGACGAUAUCCGAAUGGGGAAACCCAGUAUCCAAUGGAUACUAUCAUUAACUGAAUCCAUAGGUUAAUGAGGCGAACCGGGAGAACUGAAACAUCUCAGUACCCCGAGGAAAAGAAAUCAACCGAGAUUCCCCUAGUAGCGGCGAGCGAACGGGGAGCAGCCCAGAGUCUUAAUCAAUAACAGUGUCAGGAGAACGGUCUGGAAAGUCCGGCAGUAAAGGGUGAUAGCCCCGUAUCUGAAGAUGCUGUUAUUGUGAACUCGACGAGUAGGGCGGGACACGUGUUAUCCUGUCUGAAUAUGGGGGGACCAUCCUCCAAGGCUAAAUACUCCUGAUUGACCGAUAGUGAACCAGUACCGUGAGGGAAAGGCGAAAAGAACCCCGGCGAGGGGAGUGAAAAAGAACCUGAAACCGUGUACGUACAAGCAGUAGGAGCCUCUUUAUGGGGUGACUGCGUACCUUUUGUAUAAUGGGUCAGCGACUUAUAUUCUGUAGCAAGGUUAACCGUAUAGGGGAGCCGUAGGGAAACCGAGUCUUAACUGGGCGAAUGAGUUGCAGGGUAUAGACCCGAAACCCGGUGAUCUAUCCAUGGGCAGGUUGAAGGUUGGGUAACACUAACUGGAGGACCGAACCGACUAAUGUUGAAAAAUUAGCGGAUGACUUGUGGAUGGGGGUGAAAGGCCAAUCAAACCGGGAGAUAGCUGGUUCUCCCCGAAAGCUAUUUAGGUAGCGCCUCGUGAACUCAUCUUCGGGGGUAGAGCACUGUUUCGACUAGGGGGUCAUCCCGACUUACCAACUCGAUGCAAACUGCGAAUACCGAAGAAUGUUAUCACGGGAGACACACGGCGGGUGCUAACGUCCGUCGUGAAGAGGGAAACAACCCAGACCGCCAGCUAAGGUCCCAAAGUCAUGGUUAAGUGGGAAACGAAGUGGGAAGGCUCAGACAGCCAGGAUGUUGGCUUAGAAGCAGCCAUCAUUUAAAGAAAGCGUAAUAGCUCACUGGUCGAGUCGGCCCGCGCGGAAGAUGUAACGGGGCUAAACCAUGCACCGAAGCUGCGGCAGCGA